ACGGAAGGCAGCAGUGGGGAAUAUUGGGCAAUGGGGGAAACCCUGACCCAGCAACGCCGCGUGAAGGAAGAAGGCCUUCGGGUUGUAAACUUCUUUUACCAGGGACGAUAAUGACGGUACCUGGAGAAAAAGCAACGGCUAACUACGUUCCAGCAGCCGCGGUAAUACGUAGGUUGCAAGCGUUGUCCGGAUUUACUGGGUGUAAGGGGCGUGUAGGCGGAGCUGCAAGUCAGAUGUGAAAUCCCGGGGCUCAACCCCGGAACUGCAUUUGAAACUGUAGCCCUUGAGUAUCGGAGAGGCAAGCGGAAUUCCUAGUGUAGCGGUGAAAUGCGUAGAUAUUAGGAGGAACACCAGUGGCGAAGGCGGCUUGCUGGACGACAACUGACGCUGAGGCGCGAAAGCGUGGGGAGCAAACAGGAUUAGAUACCCUGGUA
rnacentral:rRNA from 1 species